rnacentral:lncRNA from 1 species
UGGUAAAAUCUGGAAAGGAUUUUUUGAACGUUGCCAGUAAUCGAUUAUGGAUUGUAAGUAAUCGAUUAUCAAGCGUAAAAUCUGGGAUUGAAUUUUAAACUGACUGGCAGAUAAUCGAUUGUUUGGUCUUAAUAAGCUAUUAUCACUGAGUAAUUUCAGCAACUCUUAAUUGGCAAUUAGACAACGGUUGAACCAACUUN